GCAUCAGUGGUUUAAUGGUAAAAUCCGUCGUUGCCAUAUUGAGUCGACGGGCUCCGUGUUCGAUUCACGGCUGAUGCA